rnacentral:rRNA from 1 species
UUGGAGGGCAAGUCUGGUGCCAGCAGCCGCGGUAAUUCCAGCUCCAAUAGCGUAUAUUAAAGUUGUUGCAGUUAAAAAGCUCGUAGUUGAAUUUCGGGGUUAGUAGGCUGGUCAUGCCUUUGGUAUGUACUGAUAUUAUUGGUUUCUCACCUUCUAAAGAACCGUAAUGCCAUUAAUUUGGUGUGACGGGGAAUUUGGACUGUUACUUUGAAAAAAUUAGAGUGUUUAAAGCAAGCUAACGCUUGAAUACAUUAGCAUGGAAUAAUGAAAUAGGACGUUUGAUUCUAUUUUGUUGGUUUCUAGGAUCGACGUAAUGAUUAAUAGGGAUAGUUGGGGGCAUUAGUAUUCAAUUGUCAGAGGUGAAAUUCUUGGAUUUAUUGAAGACUAGCUACUGCGAAAGCAUUUGCCAAGGAUGUUUUCAUUAAUCAAGAACGAAAGUUAGGGGAUCGAAGACGAUCAGAUACCGUCGUAGUCUUAACCAUAAACUAUGCCGACUAGGGAUCGGAUGAUGUUAAUUUUAUAAUGACUCAUUCGGCGCCUUACGGGAAAC